rnacentral:rRNA from 1 species
AUUGAACGCUGGCGGCAGGCCUAACACAUGCAAGUCGAACGAGUGGCGGACGGGUUAGUAAUGUCUGGGUAACUGCCUGACUGAGGGGGCUCACUCCUGGAAACGGUCGCUAAUACCGCAUCCCAUCGGAUGCGCCCAGAUGGGAUUAGCUAGUAGGUGGGGUAAAGGCUCACCUAGGCGACGAUCCCUAGCUGGUCUGAGAGGAGGACCAGCCAUGCUGGAACUGAGACACGGGCCAGAGUCCUACGGGAGGCAGCAUGGGGGAAGAUUGCACAAUGGGUGCAAGCCUGGUGGAGCCAUGCCGUGGGGAUGAAGAGGGCCUUCGGGUUGUAAAGUACUUUCAGCGGGGAGGCGUUACCCGCAGAAGAAGCAACGGCUAACGCCGUGCCAGCAGCCGCGGUAAUAC